UUUAAUGAUAUUUUAUAUGAAUCUAGUUAUUGGAGAUUCGAGAAAAUCUAUGAACAAUUUCUUCUUGAUUUAUCUCUAAAUACCAUUUAUCUUCAAUGGGAAGAAUUAAUCCUCAACAAUUAUAUUUAUUCUUCAACGUAUUCUUUCUCUAUUCUAGUGAUCUAUGUGUAGUGCAUUUAAGAGGAGGAAAAAGAGGAUCCAUCAGCUGAUUGUAUAUUUAUUGAAGAAAGAAUUAUUCUCGAGAAAAGUAUUUAAGACAUUUUACUAUCCUCGAGUAACACUCAACG
rnacentral:lncRNA from 1 species